rnacentral:rRNA from 1 species
GAUGACGAGUGGCGGACGGGUGAGUAAUGCUUGGGAAUCUAGCUUAUGGAGGGGGAUAACUACGGGAAACUGUCGCUAAUACCGCGUAGAAUCGAGAGAUGAAAGUGCGGGACCGCAAGGCCGCAUGCCAUAGGAUGAGCCCAAGUGGGAUUAGGUAGUUGGUGAGGUAAAGGCUCACCAAGCCGACGAUCUCUAGCUGGUCUGAGAGGAUGACCAGCCACACUGGGACUGAGACACGGCCCAGACUCC